UUUCAUGCAGAAAUAAAAUCCGGCUCUGAAAACGGGACCAUGAUUCAGAACAUGAUCAAGGAGGGAAAGAUUGUACCGUCGGAAGUAACAAUCAAGCUUCUU